AAGUCGUAACAAGGUCUCCGUAGGUGAACCUGCGGAGGGAUCAUUACCGAGUGAGGGUCGCUUCGGCGCCCGACCUCCCAACCCUUUGCGUAACCAAACCUCUGUUGCCUCGGGGGCGACCCGGCCCUCCGUCGGCCUGGGCCCUCGGUGGACCAACCCAACCAACUCUGCAUCUGUGCGUCCGAGUCUAAACAAAAUACAAUCAAAACUUUCAACAACGGAUCUCUUGGUUCUG
rnacentral:misc_RNA from 1 species